rnacentral:lncRNA from 1 species
CGCAAACCGCGCCCGGCCAGUACAGGUGCUGCGGAUGGCAAUCCUGCUGUCUUACUGCUCUAUCCUGUGUAACUACAAGGCCAUCGAAAUGCCCUCACACCAGACCUACGGAGGGAGCUGGAAAUUCCUGACGUUCAUUGAUCUGUGAUUGCGUGUGAAGGCCUGGCUGCCCCCGCAGCGGCACCUUCUGAACCACUCACCGUUACCUGGUAGCUGGGUACCCUUACCUGGCAACUGGGGGACAAAUGGAGGUGGGGCGCAGCCAGGUGGUGGGCUCUUUGGAGGGGGACACCGAACUGCUUCUAAGAGGUGACACGGGAAGAAUCUUCAACAAAAGCAUCGGACCUGAUCCUGAAUGGCCUGAGACCCAUUCGCCCUCAAGGUGCUUUUCAGAGCACCCACCGUGGGAUGAACUUGUUGCAACUGAAGGAAACUGGGUAUUGUCUAGUGAUUUGGAACUUCACCUGAAAGAACCAAAUCCUUCUCAUAAGGGAGAGAAAGCACCUAAUAAAGUUGUCU